rnacentral:tRNA from 1 species
GCGCCCGUAGCUCAGCUGGAUAGAGCAGCGGACUUCUAAUCCGCCGGUCGCAGGUUCGAAUCCUGCCGGGCGCGCCU